UAUGAUUUUUGUGCACAAAAUUCCAUUUGCAUUAAUCUAAACAUAAUUUAUAUACAAAUUUUAAAACUCAUAAAUUAUGCAGAAACAUUAUAGUUUUCAUUAAACAAAUAAACCUAAAAUAAUCCUGCGUUUUAAAAGCAGGUCCAAGUUUAGUUUUUUUUAUAAUGAAAUUUUAGUGAAGAACUAAUAAAUAUGAGUUUUUUCUUUAUUGCAUGACAAUGUAUUCUUGUUAAUAAUGUCUAGUUUACGACAUAUAUCAUCAAUUUGAUUAAAAAAUAACAGAAGCAAACAAGAACAUCUAAUACAACUAUCAACUAUGGCCUGCUCGCUGUUCACCUAAAGAAAACUCAAACCCUGCCAGUCUAUUUGUAUAGUUAAUUACAGAUGUAUAGUUUCUAAAGAAAAUAUAAACUAUAAUGAAUGACUUUCGCUC
rnacentral:lncRNA from 1 species